CCUACGGGAGACAGCAGUGAGGAAUAUUGGUCAAUGGUCGGGAGACUGAACCAGCCAAGCCGCGUGAGGGAUGAAGGUACAGAGUAUCGUAAACCUCUUUUGUCAGGGAACAAAGGCGGGGACGUGUCCCCGGAUGCGUGUACCUGAAGAAAAAGCAUCGGCUAACUCCGUGCCAGCAGCCGCGGUAAUACGGAGGCUGCGAGCGUUAUCCGGAUUUAUUGGGUUUAAAGGGGGCGCAGGGGGUCUGUUAAGACCGCGGUCAAAGCCCGGGGCUCAACCCCGGCCCGCCGUUGAAACUGGCAGUCUCGAGUUGGAGAGAAGUAUGCGGAAUGCGCGGUGUAGCGGUGAAAUGCAUAGAUAUCGCGCAGAACUCCGAUUGCGAAGGCAGCAUGCCGGCUCCACACUGACGCUGAGGCACGAAAGCGUGGGUAUCGAACAGGAUUAGAUACCCCGGUAGUC
rnacentral:rRNA from 1 species